UACGUAGGGUGCAAGCGUUGUCCGGAAUUAUUGGGCGUAAAGAGCUUGUAGGCGGUUUGUCGCGUCUGCUGUGAAAUUUCGGGGCUCAACCCCGAACUUGCAGUGGGUACGGGCAGACUAGAGUGUGGUAGGGGGAGAUUGGAAUUCCUGGUGUAGCGGUGGAAUGCGCAGAUAUCAGGAGGAACACCGAUGGCGAAGGCAGAUCUCUGGGCCGUAACUGACGCUGAGGAGCGAAAGCGUGGGGGAGCGAACAGG
rnacentral:rRNA from 1 species